AUAUGCUGGGGGGGGGGGAUUCAAUAGUUGGUAAUAUAUAUUAUGUAUUAAAAAGAGACAGAGAAAGUGUGUUAAGUCAAAAUCCUUGAAUGUCUGCAGGAAAGAAUUUAACAAAAAGAUAAUUCCAAGAAGCCUCUGCAGCUCAUUAAUAACUCUGAUUAGCUUAUGUUCUUUUUUCCUUUUAAAUGUUACUGGCCAAGCAACUUUAGCAUCACUUCUGGGAUGUAGGAACAUAAUUUUUGCCACCUUUCUCCUAGUCUGGCCUGGCCUUGAGUUCCCCUCCCUGCCUAGGGAAGCCGUGACCUCUCCAUCUCCUUGAAGAAGAGAAGGCAAUGGAGCAAUGGAUAGUGCCCAGCAACUAGCUUCGCCUUGUAUGGACACUGGCAGGCAGCUUGGUGAUGUCUCGGGAAUGUGAUGAGGCAGGCAAGGAGGGAAAGAGAGAGAGACACUUAAUGCGCUGGUGGAAAAGCGAGCUGGGGUGCAUGGGGACAUCUAGGGUUACCAUGCCUUGUCGGAUGAAAGGGGGACAGGCAAAGGAGAAACCCACACUGGGAUGCUGCCUCUGACUACCUUAGAAGCAGGCCAAAAAAACAACAACAAAAAACCCCACUUCCAUCCCAUCUGCAUCCUACAUUUUUCAAUCCUGACAUACCCAAAGCAUAUCCUUGGUGAUCGCCCACUUCUGAGGAAAGCAACGAUUUUUGAAGGUUUUCCCCUGCGCUUUUGAGCAAUAUUAUCAGUUUAAGGUCCAUAUGUAGUGGGUAUGAACAUCUGGUAAAUGGUAACUGAGUCUCAUAAAUGGCUUUAGUAUAGCAUAAGUUUAUGUUUGUUAAAUAGCUUUGCUGAGAGGGAUUGUCUGAGAAUAGUAAGGUGAGAGACUGAGGAAGCCUGCCUGAACUAACUGUGGGCAAAUGAUUUAAUUAAAAAAA